rnacentral:rRNA from 1 species
AUUGAACGCUGGCGGCAGGCCUAACACAUGCAAGUCGAACGAGUGGCGGACGGGUGAGUAAUGUCUGGGAAACUGCCUGAUGGAGGGGGAUAACUACUGGAAACGGUAGCUAAUACCGCAUACCAUCAGAUGUGCCCAGAUGGGAUUAGCUUGUUGGUGGGGUAACGGCUCACCAAGGCGACGAUCCCUAGCUGGUCUGAGAGGAUGACCAGCCACACUGAACCGGGGAAACGGGCCAGACUCCUACGGGAGUCAGCAGUGGGGAAUAUUCCACAAUGGGCGCAAGCCUGAUGCAGCAAUGCCGCGUGUAUGAGGAAGGCUAUGGGGUUGUAAAGUACUUUCGGCGGGGAGGCGUUACCCGCAGAAGAAGCACCGGCUAACUCCGUGCCAGCAGCCGCGGUAAUUC